UUGCCAGUAGUCAUAUGCUUGUCUCAAAGAUUAAGCCAUGCAUGUCUAGGUACACACUUUGGUAAAGUGAAACCGCGAAUGGCUCAUUAAAUCAGCUACAAUUUAUUAGAUCGUACACUGUUACUUGGAUAACUGUGGGAAUUCUAGAGCUACUACAUGCCGAGAGUCUCUGCUCUUCGGGGCAGAGCGCAGUUAUUAGACCAAAACCAGCCGUAUUCUUCGGGGUACGCUCUUUUGGUGACUCUGGAUAACCUUCAGCCGAUCGCAUGGCCUCGUGCCGGCGACGUAUCUUUCAAGUGUCUGCCCUAUCAACUUUCGAUGGUACGUGAUAUGCCUACCAUCGUGAUAACGGGUAACGGGGAAUCAGGGUUCGAUUCCGGAGAGGGAGCCUGAGAAAUGGCUACCACAUCCAAGGAUGGCAGCAGGCGCGCAAAUUACCCACUCCCAGCUUGGGGAGGUAGUGACGAACAAUAACAAUGCGGGACUCUAAGAGGCCCCGUAAUUGGAAUGAGUACACCUUAAAUCGUUUAACGAGUAUCAAUUGGAGGGCAAGUCUGGUGCCAGCAGCCGCGGUAAUUCCAGCUCCAAUAGCGUAUAUUAAAGUUGCUGCAGUUAAAAAGCUCGUAGUUGGAUCUGGGGCUUGAGGUCGCUGUCUAUCGUUUCGGCGAUGACGGUGAUGCUCAGCUCUGCUUGCCGGUGACUGUUGCGGUGUUCUCCACUGAGCGCUGUAGCAGCACGGCACGUUUACUUUGAAAAAAUUAGAGUGCUCAAAGCGUGCUUGUCGCUUGAAUAAUGUUGCAUGGAAUAAUGGAAUAGGACCUCGGUUCUAUUUUGUUGGUUUUCGGAGCUUGAGGUAAUGAUUAAGAGGGACGAACGGGGGCAUUCGUAUUGCGGUGUUAGAGGUGAAAUUCUUGGAUCGCCGCAAGACGGACUACUGCGAAAGCAUUUGCCAAGAACGCUUUCAUUAAUUAAGAACGAAAGUCAGAGGUUCGAAGACGAUCAGACACCGUCCUAGUUCUGACCAUAAACGAUGCCGACCAGCGAUCCGUAGUGGUUGCUUCAUGGACCCUACGGGCAGCCUCCGGGAAACCAAAGUAUUUGGGUUCCGGGGGAAGUAUGGUCGCAAAGCUGAAACUUAAAGGAAUUGACGGAAGGGCACACCAGGAGUGGAGCCUGCGGCUUAAUUUGACCCAACACGGGAAAACUCACCCGGUCCGGACACCGUAAGGAUUGACAGACUGAUAGCUCUUUCUUGAUUCGGUGGAUGGUGGUGCAUGGCCGUUCUUAGUUGGUGGAGUGAUUUGUCUGGUUAAUUCCGAUAACGAACGAGACUCUAGCCUGCUAAGUAGUGUUGCUAUUGUUAUAUGGUUGACACUUCUUAGAGGGACAAGUGGCAUUUAGCCACGCGAAAUUGAGCAAUAACAGGUCUGUGAUGCCCUUAGAUGUCCGGGGCCGCACGCGCGCUACACUGGAGAAGUCAGCGUGUGUUAUCCAAGUCCGAAAGGACUGGGUAAUCCGUUGAACCUUCUUCGUGCUUGGGACUGUGGCUUGGAACUAUUCCACAUGAACGAGGAAUUCCUAGUAAUUGCAAGUCAUAAGCUUGCGUUGAUUACGUCCCUGCCCUUUGUACACACCGCCCGUCGCUACUACCGAUUGAACGGUUUAGCAAGGUCCUCGGAUCAUGGCCGUAGGGGCACGCAAGUGUUUCUGCGGUUUGCGAGAAGACGACCAAACUUGAUCAUUUAGAGGAAGUAAAGUCGUAACAAGGUU
rnacentral:rRNA from 1 species